UACAGAGGGUGCAAGCGUUAAUCGGAAUUACUGGGCGUAAAGCGCGUGUAGGCGGCUAAGUAAGUCGGGCGUGAAAUCCCACGGCUCAACCGUGGAAGUGCACUCGAAACUGCGUAGCUAGAGUCCUGGAGAGGAAGGUGGAAUGCUUGGUGUAGAGGUGAAAUUCGUAGAUAUCAAGCGGAACACCGGUGGCGAAGGCGGCCUUCUGGACAGUGACUGACGCUGAGACGCGAAAGCGUGGGGAGCAAACAGG
rnacentral:rRNA from 1 species